rnacentral:rRNA from 1 species
UACGUAGGGUGCGAGCGUUAAUCGGAAUUACUGGGCGUAAAGCGUGCGCAGGCGGCUUUGCAAGACAGAUGUGAAAUCCCCGGGCUCAACCUGGGAAUUGCUUCCGAGACUGAGCGACUAGAGUACGGUAGAGGGCGGUGGAAUUUCCGGUGUAGCGGCGAAAUGCGUAGAUAUCGGAAGGAACACCAAUGGCGAAGGCAGCCGCCUGGGCCUGUACUGACACUGAGACACGAAAGCGUGGGGAUCAAACAGGAUUAGAUACCCGGGUAGU